CCUACGGUGGGCUGCAGUGGGGGAUAUUGCACAAUGGGGGAAACCCUGAUGCAGCGACGCCGCGUGGGUGAAGAAGCGCCUCGGCGCGUAAAGCCCUGUCAGCAGGGAAGAAAAUGACGGUACCUGAAGAAGAAGCCCCGGCUAACUACGUUCCAGCAGCCGCGGUAAUACGGAGGGGGCAAGCGUUAUCCGGAUUUUCUGGGUGUAAAGGGGGCGCAGACGGCGAUGCAAGCCAGGAGUGAAAGCCCGGGGCCCAACCCCGGGACUGCUCUUGGAACUGCGUGGCUAGAGUGCAGGAGGGGCAGGCGGAAUUCGUGGUGUAGCGGUGAAAUGCGUAGAUAUCAGGAAGAACACCGGUGGCGAAGGCAGCCUGCUGGCCUGCAACUGACGUUGAGGCCCGAAAGCGUGUGGAGCGAACAGGAUUAGAUACCCUAGUAGUC
rnacentral:rRNA from 1 species